GUUUGGAAGCCCGCACGGUACGGUCCAGAGGGUGAACACAUCCUGGCCUGUGCACCUCUCUACCAGUGGAGCACGUACAGUUUCUCCGAGCGAGAGCCUGUUGGAACGUGUUUCUUGAAGAAAGGACGAGACGUGGUGGAAUACUCUCCUUGUCGAUCUAAUGCUAACUCUCCAGAGGGACAAGGAUUCUGUCAGGCUGGAUUCAGUAUUGACUUUGUCAAGAAUAACAGGGUGGUUGUUGGAGGCCCUGGUAGUUUCUAUUGGCAAGGUAAGUGAU